rnacentral:ncRNA from 1 species
AUGCCUACUCCACAAACAAUAGGCAUAGGAAGCUAAAAUAAAGGAGGAAACCCCCGUUUCGACUCACGGUGCGGCAGUGUGGAGACCUGUCGUAAUGCUUCCGCUAUUUUACCUGGCGGUACGCGAGUGCAUUCAUUGAGGAUUCAGGAUGCACGGAGUCACAAAAAUCAUGGCA